UACGAAGGGGGCUAGCGUUGCUCGGAUUGACUGGGCGUAAAGGGCGCGUAGGCGGAUAGUACAGUCAGGCGUGAAAUUCCUGGGCUCAACCUGGGGGCUGCGUUUGAUACGUGCUGUCUGGAGUUCGGAAGAGGGUCGUGGAAUUCCCAGUGUAGAGGUGAAAUUCGUAGAUAUUGGGAAGAACACCGGUGGCGAAGGCGGCGACCUGGUCCGAUACUGACGCUGAGGCGCGAAAGCGUGGGGAGCAAACAGG
rnacentral:rRNA from 1 species